UACGGGGGGGCAAGCGUUGUUCGGAAUUACUGGGCGUAAAGGGCUCGUAGGCGGCCAACUAAGUCAGACGUGAAAUCCCUCGGCUUAACCGGGGAACUGCGUCUGAUACUGGUUGGCUUGAAUCCGGGAGAGGGAUGUGGAAUUCCAGGUGUAGCGGUGAAAUGCGUAGAUAUCUGGAGGAACACCAAUGGCGAAGGCAGCUCGCUGGAACGGUACUGACGCUGAGGCGCGAAAGCGUGGGGAGCGAACAGG
rnacentral:rRNA from 1 species